CCUACGGGAGGCAGCAGUGAGGAAUAUUGGUCAAUGGACGAGAGUCUGAACCAGCCAAGUAGCGUGAAGGAUGACUGCCCUAUGGGUUGUAAACUUCUUUUAUAUGGGAAUAAAAUGUUCCACGUGUGGGAUUUUGUAUGUACCAUAUGAAUAAGGAUCGGCUAACUCAGUGCCAGCAGCCGCGGUAAUACGGAGGAUCCGAGCGUUAUCCGGAUUUAUUGGGUUUAAAGGGAGCGUAGGUGGAUUGUUAAGUCAGUUGUGAAAGUUUGCGGCUCAACCGUAAAAUUGCAGUUGAAACUUGCAGUCUUGAGUACAGUAGAGGUGGGCGGAAUUCGUGGUGUAGCGGUGAAAUGCUUAGAUAUCACGAAGAACUCCGAUUGCGAAGGCAGUUCACUGGACUGCAACUGACACUGAGGCUCGAAAGUGUGGGUAUCAAACAGGAUUAGAUACCCCAGUAGUC
rnacentral:rRNA from 1 species